GGGAUGUAGUUCAGUGGUAGAGCACUUGCAUACCAAGCACAAGGCCCUGGGUUCAAUCCCCAGUACCCACA
rnacentral:tRNA from 1 species